rnacentral:rRNA from 1 species
UACGUAGGGUGCGAGCGUUAAUCGGAAUUACUGGGCGUAAAGCGUGCGCAGGCGGCUUUGCAAGACAGAUGUGAAAUCCCCGGGCUCAACCUGGGAACUGCAUUUGUGACUGCAAGGCUAGAGUACGGCAGAGGGGGAUGGAAUUCCGCGUGUAGCAGUGAAAUGCGUAGAUAUGCGGAGGAACACCAAUGGCGAAGGCAAUCCCCUGGGCCUAUACUGACGCUCAUGCACGAAAGCGUGGGGAGCAAACAGG